rnacentral:tRNA from 1 species
UGGGGCGUAGUCAAGUGGUAAGGCAACGGGUUUUGGUCCCGCUAUUCGGAGGUUCGAUCCCUUCCGUCCCAGA